rnacentral:rRNA from 1 species
CAGCGGCGCACGGGUGAGUAACACGUGGGUAAUCUGCCCUGGAGUGGGGAAUAACACCGGGAAACCGGUGCUAAUACCGCAUACGAUCACAGAGUCUGCGGAUUUUGUGAUGAAAGGAGCAAUUUGCUCUAGGAGGAGCCCGCGGCUGAUUAGCUAGUUGGUGAGGUAAUGGCUCACCAAGGCAACGAUCAGUAUCCGGUCUGAGAGGACGGUCGGACACACUGGAACUGAGACACGGUCCAGACUCCUACGGGAGGCAGCAGUGGGGAAUUUUUGGCAAUGGGGGCAACCCUGACCAAGCAACGCCGCGUGGGUGAUGAAGUCUCUUGGGACGU